UACGUAGGGGGCAAGCGUUGUCCGGAAUUACUGGGCGUAAAGGGCGCGCAGGCGGCUGCUCAAGUCAGGCGUGAAAGGCCUGGGCUCAACCCGGGAAUUGCGCUUGAGACUGGGCUGGCUUGAGUGCGGGAGAGGAUGGUGGAAUUCCCAGUGUAGAGGUGAAAUUCGUAGAUAUUGGGAAGAACACCGGUGGCGAAGGCGGCCAUCUGGACCGCAACUGACGCUGAGGCGCGAAAAGCGUGGGGAGCAAACAGGG
rnacentral:rRNA from 1 species